UAGUGUAGGGUGAAAUAUCCUUGUUUUU
rnacentral:piRNA from 1 species